CAGUGGUUGUCAGCAAGGCCGCAAACUGAGUUAGGACUCCCUGUCUAAGACCCUGGUCUUUGACCUUGCGUAGCAGCGGUGGAAACCCUGUAUCAGAACCGAGGAUAAUUAGCAAAUAAAGGGCCCUUUAAUCUUUGGAUGGUGGGGUCUAGGAAUAGGAUCCUUGCUCUAACCCUAUUCAUGGAACAUUUGCAGAACAUCUUUCCUGUGAUGGGAAUAGGUCAGAUGUGUUACUGGAAGGACACUCGCUAGCAACACACUGCAAUUAAACUUGGAGCGCCUUGUGGGAAAAGGCAUUGUAAAUAUGCUGCUGCUUGCCCUGUGGUUAUGUAAAUGCAUAGGUUUCUCAUAAUAAAAUACUUUGGCUGCUU